rnacentral:rRNA from 1 species
CACCUAAAAAACUCUCUUUCACGUGAACCGUAUCAACCCUUCUUAGUUUGGGGGUCUUUGCUUUUUUGCGAGCCCUAUCAUGGCGAAUGUUUGGACUUCGGUCUGGGCUAGUAGCUUUUUGUUUUAAACCCAUUCUACAAUACUGAUUAUACUGUGGGGACGAAAGUCUCUGCUUUUAACUAGAUAGCAACUUUCAGCAGUGGAUGUCUAGGCUCGCACAUCGAUGAAGAACGCUGCGAACUGCGAUACGUAAUGCGAAUUGCAGGAUUCAGUGAGUCAUCGAAAUUUUGAACGCAUAUUGCACUUCCGGGUUAGUCCUGGGAGUAUGCCUGUAUCAGUGUCCGUACAUCAAACUUGGCUUUCUUCCUUCCGUGUAGUCGGUGGAGGAUGUGCCAGAUGUGAAGUGUCUUGCGGGUGUCCUUCGGGUCGUCUGCGAGUCCUUUGAAAUGUACUGAACUGUACUUCUCUUUGCUCGAAAAGCGUGGUGUUGCUGGUUGUGGAGGCUGCCUGCGUGGCCAGUCGGCGACCGGUUUGUCUGCUGUGGCGUUUAAUGGAGGAGUGUUCGAUUCGCGGUAUGGUUGGCUUCGGCUGAACAGGCGCUUAUUGUAUGCUUUUCCUGCUGUGGUGUGAUGGGCUGGUGAACCGUAGCUGUGUGUGGCUUGGCUUUUGAAUCGGCUUUGCUGUUGCGAAGUAGAGUGACGGCUUCGGCUGUCGAGGGUCGAUCCAUUUGGGAACUUUGUGUGCACCUCGGUGCGCAUCUCAAUUGGACCUGAUAUCAGCAAGAUUACCCGCUGAACUUA